GGAAACAGUGUGGCUAUGACUUGGAGCUGCUCACCAGUUCCAGUCAUUCUGUGGUUGAGAGCUGCUCCCUAUGGAUGUUAAUUCUUCUCUAUUUUAGAUUUUCCACAGGUGUGGGCCCCAUUAGCUCUGGCCACCUGAGAAAGCCCUCAGGCAAAGAGUCGCAGGUGAAAGCCAGCAGUUAGAGGUUCACAGAAAUGAGUGCAGAAGCAUCUUCAGUUGGAGAGCCAUUGCCUCUUGCUGUGAAAUAUUUGGGAAUCUUCAGAAACCAUGAAGAAUAACCUGCUAAAGCUGAGCUGGGACUCUGCCUGGAUAUAACUUAUGGCCUAUUCUAUAUGGAAAGUUGGUUUUCUCACAGUUCCACUCCCUUUCCAGAUAUCAGCAAAUGGCCCUCCUAGCCCAGAAGUCUCCAGAGAGGUAUUUAUAAUAGUCAAAUUAGUGCAAAUUUAUAAUUCUUUAUCUUUAAACAUUUGGAAAUUGAAAUAAAAAUAGUUUCCCAGA
rnacentral:lncRNA from 1 species